rnacentral:rRNA from 1 species
UACGUAGGGUGCAAGCGUUGUCCGGAAUUAUUGGGCGUAAAGAGCUCGUAGGCGGUCUGUUGCGUCGCUGUGAAAACCCGGGGCUCAACCCCGGGCCUGCAGCCGAUACGGGCAGACUAGAGUUCGGCAGGGGAGACUGGAAUUGCAGGUGUAGCGGUGAAAUGCGUAGAUAUCUGCAGGAACACCCGUGGCGAAAGCGGCGCGCUGGACCACUACUGACGCUGAGGAACGAAAGCUAGGGGAGCAAACAGG